rnacentral:tRNA from 1 species
GGGCCUAUAGCUCAGCUUCGGUUAGAGCGCACGCCUGAUAAGCGUGAGGUCGAUGGUUCGAAUCCAUCUAGGCCCACCA